CCUACGGGGCGCAGCAGUGGGGAAUAUUGCACAAUGGGGGAAACCCUGAUGCAGCGACGCCGCGUGAGUGAAGAAGUAUUUCGGUACGUAAAGCUCUAUCAGCAGGGAAGAAAAUGACGGUACCUGACUAAGAAGCCCCGGCUAACUACGUGCCAGCAGCCGCGGUAAUACGUAGGGGGCAAGCGUUAUCCGGAUUUACUGGGUGUAAAGGGAGCGUAGACGGCAGCGCAAGUCUGGAGUGAAAUCCCAUGGCUUAACCAUGGAACUGCUUUGGAAACUGUUUAUCUAGAGUGUCGGAGAGGCAA
rnacentral:rRNA from 1 species